GAUGAAGAACGUAGCGAAAUGCGAUAAGUAAUGUGAAUUGCAGAAUUCAGUGAAUCAUCGAAUCUUUGAACGCACAUUGCGCCCCUUGGUAUUCCGAGGGGCAUGCCUGUUCGAGCGUCAUUAUAACCCCUCAAGCUCAGCUUGGUGUUGGGGCCUGCUGCACUGGCAGCCCUUAAAAUCAGUGGCGGCGCCAUCUGGCUCUAAGCGUAGUAAUUCUUCUCGCUAUGGAGUCCUGGUGGAUGCUUGCCAUCAACCCCCAAUUUUUCUAUGGUUGACCUCGGAUCAGGUAGGGAUACCCGCUGAACUUAAGCAUAUCAUAACCGGAGGA
rnacentral:misc_RNA from 1 species